CUGGCUCUUGCGGAAGAGAUCAGGUUCGACCCGACGCCGAAGGCGCAACCGCCCCGGAAACGCUCAGGCAAAAGGACCGCGGAGCACAA
rnacentral:ncRNA from 1 species